UACAGAGGUGGCAAGCGUUGUUCGGAAUUACUGGGCGUAAAGGGCGCGUAGGCGGCCUUCUAAGUCAGACGUGAAAUCCCUCGGCUCAACCGAGGAACUGCGUCUGAUACUGGAAGGCUUGAAUCCGGGAGAGGGAUGUGGAAUUCCAGGUGUAGCGGUGAAAUGCGUAGAUAUCUGGAGGAACACCGGUGGCGAAGGCGGCAUCCUGGACCGGUAUUGACGCUGAGGCGCGAAAGCUAGGGGAGCAAACGGG
rnacentral:rRNA from 1 species